UACGUAGGGGGCAAGCGUUGUCCGGAAUCAUUGGGCGUAAAGCGCGUGUAGGCGGCCAGGUAAGUCCGUUCUGAAAGCCCGGGGCUCAACCCCGGGAGGCGGAUGGAUACUGCUUGGCUCGAGUCCGGAAGAGGCGAGUGGAAUUCCCGGUGUAGCGGUGAAAUGCGCAGAUAUCGGGAGGAACACCAAUGGCGAAGGCAGCUCGCUGGGACGGUACUGACGCUGAGGUGCGAAAGCGUGGGGAGCAAACAGG
rnacentral:rRNA from 1 species